CCGUGCUAGGUGGGGAAGUAGCGGCGCCCUGCAUCUGCAAUCCGCUCUAGCAGGACUGAAUUCCCUCUCGAGGGGCUCGGUUUCCGGGGUCAGCGCGUCGAUCGUGGCGUCGAUGGCCGGGUCCCGCGCGGUGUUGGCCCGUGAAUCAGGUCAGGUCCGGAAGGAAGCAGCCUUAAGCGGUCACCAGCAGGCGUUGCGGGGUCGCCCGGCCGGAGCUUUCGGCCGGCGAACGCGCUCGGAAACCGGUUUCGACGGAGGGUGCACGG
rnacentral:SRP_RNA from 1 species